rnacentral:rRNA from 1 species
GUCGAACGAAGUAGCAAUACUUAGUGGCAGACGGGUGAGUAACAUGUAGGUAUCUGCCCUUUGGCCUGGAAUAACACGAGGAAACUUGUGCUAAUACCGGAUAAGUCUUUACGGAGAAAGCUUUAUGCACCAUUGGAUGAGCCUGCACUUGAUUAGUUUGUUGGUGGGGUAAUGGCCUACCAAGACUGUGAUCAAUAGCUGAUUUGAGAGGAUGAUCAGCCACAUUGGGACUGAGACACGGCCCAAACUCCUACGGGAGGCAGCAGUGGGGAAUCUUGCACAAUGGAGGAAACUCUGAUGCAGCGAUGCCGCGUGAGUGAAGAAGGCCUUUGGGUUGUAAAGCUCUUUCGUCGGGGAAGAAAAUGACUGUACCCGAAUAAGAAGGUCCGGCUAACUUCGUGCCAGCAGCCGCGGUAAUACGAAGGGACCUAGCGUAGUUCGGAAUUACUGGGCUUAAAGAGUUCGUAGGUGGUUGAAAAAGUUGGUGGUGAAAUCCCAGAGCUUAACUCUGGAACUGCCAUCAAAACUUUUCAGCUAGAGUAUGAUAGAGGAGAGCAGAAUUUCUGGUGUAGAGGUGAAAUUCGUAGAUAUUAGAAAGAAUACCAAUUGCGAAGGCAGCUUUCUGGAUCAUUACUGACACUGAGGAACGAAAGCAUGGGUAGCGAAGAGGAUUAGAUACCCUCGUAGUCCAUGCCGUAAACGAUGUGUGUUAGACGUUGGAAAUUUAUUUUCAGUGUCGCAGCGAAAGCGAUAAACACACCGCCUGGGGAGUACGACCGCAAGGUUAAAACUCAAAUGAAUUGACGGGGACCCGCACAAGUAGUGGAGCAUGUGGUUUAA